rnacentral:lncRNA from 1 species
ACCAGAUGCGUCGGGAGACUUCUAGGCUGUCUUUACAUACGAAUGGACUCUAGCGAACAGAAGUGCCUGUGAGCAUUGUCGUUUCUCCAAAAAGGAUGACACCUUCAAUGUUCGCGACAAUCCAACAGCGACGGCGAGGAACCUUUGGCCCUCCUUCAUUGCAGAGCCUGGAGUCGGCCAUAAAAUCACAAUCGACAUGGUGAAGGCAGCAAGCGAAUGGUUCGAUCGCUUCCUGCAUGCAUGAAUGCAAAAGUUAUUGUCGCCCAUCAUUUGUUCUAUAUCGAUUGUGAUUUGUCAACAGCAUCCCUUAGUUGAAGUAUUUAUGUCCUCGUCUGUGUACCUUGGUAAUUGCCGGUCGGACAAACAUCUCUAUCUCUAUUUAUUAUAUUAGGAUACGUUUGGUUGCUGGACAAAUGAGGGCAGAAUAGAAUGGCUCCUAAGUUGGGAAUGGAAUGAUUCCUCAUAUUAUUUGGUUGGAAGGAUGAGAUGAUCCUUGUUUUUUGUUUGGUUAGAGAUAUAACUGGGGAUAGAUUGUUCAUGUCCUUUGUUUGGUUCGAGAACAGAGCACAAAAAAAUGUUUGCCGCCAUUGCCCCCAUCUCAUGAUAUGUUACAACUAAUAUUAAGUCGACAAAACACACAUAUUAUUAAUUUCACACAAUACAUAAUAAUGUGUCCUAGCAUUACACAUAAUAUCAAGUUUAAGGCUUCCACAAAAUCUGCAUGUUCAAGCAAAAUCCGCUGACGUACUUAGACCACAUUUCAUUGUUUGAUGUGGUUCAAGCAAAAGAACUGUCCAAGCCUAUCUACUAUAACUACCCUCACACUCCUGGGUACACAUAAAUCACAAUUCAUUGUUCGAUGUGGUUCAAGCAAAAGAACCCCUACCACCUACCCUCACACUCUUGGGAACUUCACUGACGAAAUUGCGAGCCCAGAUUAACUUGUGGUCGAAUGGCAACUUGUUGAAGGCUCUAGCAAUGUGAGGGUGCGCCACCAGAUAAUUGAAAUAA